UACAGAGGGCCCGAGCGUUGCGCGGAAUCACUGGGCUUAAAGGGUGCGUAGGCGGAAACUUAAGUGUCUCGUGAAAUCCCACGGCUUAACCGUGGAACUGCGGGGCAUACUGGGUUUCUUGAGGCUGGUAGGCGCCACCGGAACUGUAGGUGUAGCGGUGAAAUGCGUAGAUAUCUACAGGAACGCCGAUGGUGAAGACGGGUGGCUGGGCCAGUUCUGACGCUGAGGCACGAAAGCGUGGGGAUCAAACAGG
rnacentral:rRNA from 1 species